rnacentral:rRNA from 1 species
AGCGUAGACGGCGAAGCAAGUCUGAAGUGAAAACCCAGGGCUCAACCCUGGGACUGCUUUGGAAACUGUUUUGCUAGAGUGUCGGAGAGGUAAGUGGAAUUCCUAGUGUAGCGGUGAAAUGCGUAGAUAUUAGGAGGAACACCAGUGGCGAAGGCGGCUUACUGGACGAUAACUGACGUUGAGGCUCGAAAGCGUGGGGAGCAAACA